rnacentral:rRNA from 1 species
GAUGAACGCUAGCGGCAGGCUUAACACAUGCAAGUCGAGGGGUAUUGGUUUCGGACCAAGAGACCGGCGCACGGGUGCGUAACGCGUAUGCAAUCUACCUUUGCAGAGGGAUAGCCCCAGAGGAAAUUUGGAUUAAUACCUCAUAGUAUAGUACUUUGGCAUCAAGGAACUAUUAAAGUCACAACGGCAAAGAUGAGCAUGCGUCCCAUUAGCUAGUUGGUAAGGUAACGGCUUACCAAGGCUACGAUGGGUAGGGGUCCUGAGGGGGAGAUCCCCCCACACGUGGUACUGAGACACGGACCAGACUCCUACGGGAGGCAGCAGUUGAGGAAUAUUGGACAAUAGGGCGCAAG